UUUUUUUGAGAUGGAGUUUCGGUCUUGUUGCCCAGGCUGGAGUGCAGUGGCACAAUCUCGGCUCACUGCAACCUCCACCUCCUGGGUUCAAGUAAUUCUUCUGCCUCAGCCUCCCAAGUAGCUGGGAUUACAGGCGCCUGCCACUACGCCCGGCUAAUUUUUUGUAUUUUUAGUAGAGAUGGGGUUUCACCAUGUUGGCCAGGCUGGUCUCAAACCCCAGACCUCAGGUGAUCCACCCACGUCGGCCUCCCAAAGUGCUGGGAUUACAGGCGUGAGCCACUGCACCCGGCCUCUGUUUACUUUUUGUACAACGGUGAUAGCAGCUCUUAAGUAUAUCCAUUUGACUGGAUCAUAAAUCAGUACACUGCCAGUGAGAUAGUGGUAUAUGCUUAUUUGUAAGAGAACAAAAAAUGAUAUAUAAAAUACUAGUUCUAGGGCUAAGUUCACUAUUAAUCUAAUUUAAUUUGUGACUAAACACUCUGGAUAGACAAAAAAGUAUUCUUUGAUAUGACAUGUUGCAAAAGUCACCUGUAGCUAUGACUAUAGUUGAGUGUUCUUAAUAGCAAAGAUAACUAUUCAAAUUUUUAAAGUUCUUAUUUAGGCUAUUUGAUGAUAAAGGGAUGUACCUGUAAAAAUAUAUAUAUAUUUAUAAAGGACCUAAUUAAUUUUUACAAAAGGAUUUUGUUUUGUAUAGUACUAAUCUGCAAAUGAGCUUCCCUAGCUGGAAUGGAGGUUUGAGAGAUAGUAUAGUAUAGUGGUUAAGAACACCGAUUCUGCUAGUCUGCUUAGGUUCAAAUCCUGGUUCUACUACUUACUAGCUGGGUGACUGUGGGUAAGAUAUUUAACCUCUCUACUUCCGUACUCUGUAAAGGGAUAAUAACAGUAUCUACAUUUUGGGGUGGUAAUGAUUAAAUGAGUUACUACUUGUAAAAUGCUUACAACAAGGCCUGCCAGACCCUGACACAUAGUAAAAGCAGUAUAUGUGUUUUUUUGUUUUUGUUUUUUGUUUUUAAUAAAAUAAGUAUCUGAAAAAUAAAGUCACUAGAAAAGUAUGAGUCCUUCAACAUAGGAUUUAGGAACAUAUAUGUUACAUAAAAGGAAAAAUGUUACUAAAUUCCUGCAGCUGCCAGAAAAAUACUAUCACUAAUGAAUGCCGUCUUCAGUAUUUUGGCAAACUAAUAGCAAAGAUUUGGGAUCUUAAAGGCCACAGUGCAGAAGAGUUCAUAUUGC
rnacentral:lncRNA from 10 species